rnacentral:rRNA from 1 species
UACAGAGGGUGCAAGCGUUAAUCGGAAUUACUGGGCGUAAAGCGUGCGUAGGUGGUUUGUUAAGUCAGGUGUGAAAUCCUCGGGCUCAACCUGGGAACUGCGCUUGAUACUGACAGACUCGAGUGUGGUAGAGGAUAGUGGAAUUCCCGGUGUAGCGGUGAAAUGCGUAGAUAUCGGGAGGAACAUCAGUGGCGAAGGCGGCUAUCUGGACCAACACUGACACUGAGGCACGAAAGCGUGGGUAG